AGCGAACGCUGGCGGCAGGCCUAACACAUGCAAGUCGAACGGAUCCUUCGGGAUUAGUGGCGGACGGGUGGGUAACACGUGGGAACGUGCCCUUUGGUUCGGAACAACUCAGGGAAACUUGAGUUAAUACCGGAUGUGCCCUUCGGGGGAAAGAUUUAUCGCCAUUGGAGCGGCCCGCGUCUGAUUAGCUAGUUGGUGAGGUAAAGGCUCACCAAGGCGACGAUCAGUAGCUGGUCUGAGAGGAUGAUCAGCCACAUUGGGACUGAGACACGGCCCAAACUCCUACGGGAGGCAGCAGUGGGGAAUCUUGCGCAAUGGGCGAAAGCCUGACGCAGCCAUGCCGCGUGAAUGAUGAAGGUCUUAGGAUUGUAAAAUUCUUUCACCGGGGACGAUAAUGACGGUACCCGGAGAAGAAGCCCCGGCUAACUUCGUGCCAGCCGCCGCGGUAAAAC
rnacentral:rRNA from 1 species